rnacentral:hammerhead_ribozyme from 1 species
GUCCAGAUGAUAAGUCCCAAAUAAGAUGAAAUGCGCAUCCUGGAU